GUCACAAGGGGCCGAGCAGGAUGAGGAAACCACAGGCGGAGUCCGGGGGAAGCAGCGUGGCAUCCCAGCCUCAGGGCUGUCAGGACGGUGUUCGGGAACGUCUCCGGCUGCCAGGAGUCGCAAGGGGCCGAGCAGGAUGAGGAAACCACAGGCGGAGUCCGGGGGAAGCAGCGUGGCAUCCCAGCCUCAGGGCUGUCAGGACGGUGUUCGGGUGAGUCUCCCGAGAAGUCGUGCCCCCGUGAUCUCGAGGACAGGUCCGCCUGCGUGCCCGAGGGCUGUUCUCUCAGCCGAGGGUUGUUCCCCUCCAGAGCAGAACCCGGCAGCCGCAGGGGUUGCCUGGGGGCGUGUAUUUCUCGGCCACCGCGGUAGGACUGUGUGUGGGGCUGUGUCUCCCAUUCUCCCUUCUCUCUCUGUCUCUCACCCUCUGUGUGCUUCUUUCCCUCUGUGUGUGUGUGUGUGUGUCUUUGGACGAAUGUGCCCUGUGCGUCAAAAAGGGAUGUCUUUUAUGUGGACCGGUCUUUGGUGAGCCUCUUUCUGCGUCUCUCCCUGGGUCCUGCGGCCAGCUGUCCAUCGUCUUCGCGGCGGUUCCACUUUGGGUCUGUGCAGGCCUCGAUAACGUGAGGGGAUGCAUCGGGCCCGGAGCAAUGGAAGUCUCAUCCCCAUCCUGAGCGGCCUCUUUUCUAGGAUCGAGAGGACCACACUGCAGCCCAGGACAAAAGC
rnacentral:lncRNA from 1 species